GCAGCCGUGCGUUUCUGUAUUUGUACCUGUGCGGGAAGUUUUGUCUGCCGAAAUGCUGUGGAAGAAGCGUGAGGAAUGCUACUGGCAUAUCAUCAACUUGAUAUUCAUUUCACCUAGCAACGACAGAGCAACAUGUAAAGGGUCCACCACAAGGCUUCAAUCUCAGUGGGUGUGACACCUUCAGUGCGAGGAUGAGGACGAUUAUGAACAUCUCUUUAAUUCAGUUGAGUUCAGUGUAGACUCCUUGUUGUGCAGUGUUGUGUGGACGACUACUGAAGAUUUUUGAAAAGGAACAUUGUGCUGUGCCUUCGUCACUAGACAUGUGUACAUUUGUGGAAUUUCUGCAUUAGGUGUAUUUGGCGUGUGGAAGUUCCAUAGAAAGAUGGGAAGAAAACAGGUAAGUGCAAAAGCCUGUCAACCUUUAGUG